rnacentral:rRNA from 1 species
UACAGAGGUCUCAAGCGUUGUUCGGAUUCAUUGGGCGUAAAGGGUGCGUAGGCGGCGCGGUAAGUCGGGUGUGAAAUCUCGGAGCUUAACUUCGAAACUGCAUUCGAUACUGCCGUGCUUGAGGACUGGAGAGGAGACUGGAAUUUACGGUGUAGCGGUGAAAUGCGUAGAUAUCUGGAGGAACACCGGUGGCGAAGGCGGCAUCCUGGACCGGCAUUGACGCUGAGGAGCGAAAGCCAGGGGAGCAAACGGG